GGCACUACGGUGCUAAAGUAACAAAUGCCCUGCUUCGGGAAAAGCCUCUAAGCAUCAGGUAACAUCAAAUCGUACCCCAAACCGACACAGGUGGUCAGAGAAUACCAAGGCGCUUGAGAGCUCGGGUGAAGGAACUAGGCAAAAUGGUGCCGUAACUUCGGGAGAAGGCACGCUGGUGUGUAGGUGAAGUCCCUGCGGAUGGAGCUGAGACCAGUCGAAGAUACCAGCUGGCUGCAACUGUUUAUUAAAAACACAGCACUGUGCAAACACGAAAGUGGACGUAUACGGUGUGACGCCUGCCCGGUGCCGGAAGGUUAAUUGAUGGGGUUAUCCGUAAGGAGAAGCUCUUGAUCGAAGCCCGGUAAACGGCGGCCGUAACUAUAACGGUCCUAAGGUAGCGAAAUUCCUUGUCGGGUAAGUUCCGACCUGCACGAAUGGCGUAAUGAUGGCGGGCUGUCUCCACCCGAGACUCAGUGAAAUUGAACUCGCUGUGAAGAUGCAGUGUACCCGCGGCAAGACGGAAAGACCCGUGAACCUUUACUAUAGCUUGACACUGAACAUUGAGCCUUGAUGUGUAGGAUAGGUGGGAGGCUUUGAAGCGUGGACGCCAGUCUGCGUGGAGCCAACCUGAAAUACCACCCUUUGUUUGAUGUUCUAACGUUGGCCCCUGACCGGGGUUGCGGACAGUGUCUGGUGGGUAGUUUGACUGGGGCGGUCUCCUCCCAAAGCGUAACGGAGGAGCACGAAGGUUAGCUAAUCUGGUCGGACAUCAGGAGGUUAGUGCAAUGGCAUAAGCUAGCUUGACUGCGAGCGUGACGGCGCGAGCAGGUGCAGCAGGUCAUAGUGAUCCGGUGGUUCUGAAUGGAAGGGCCAUCGCUCAACGGAUAAAGGUACUCCGGGGAUAACAGGCUGAUACCGCCCAAGAGUUCAUAUCGACGGCGGUGUUUGGCACCUCGAUGUCGGCUCAUCACAUCACGGGGCUGAAGUAGGUCCCAAGGGUAUGGCUGUUCGCCAUUUAAAGUGGUACGCGAGCUGGGUUUAGAACGUCGUGAGACAGUUCGGUCCCUAUCUGCCGUGGGCGCUGGAGAAUUGAGGGCUGCUCCUAGUACGAGAGGACCGGGUGGACGCAUCACUGGUGUUCGGGUUGUCAUGCCAAUGGCACUGCCCGGUAGCUAAAUGCGGAAGAGAUAAGUGCUGAAAGCAUCUAAGCACGAAACUUGCCCCGAGAUGAGUUCUCCCUGAGACUUUAAGUCUCCUGAAGGAACGUUGAAGACGACGACGUUGAUAGGCCGGGUGUGUAAGCGCAGCGAUGCGUUGAGCUAACCGGUACUAAUGAACCGUGAGGCUUAACCUU
rnacentral:rRNA from 1 species